GCUUUGCCGCUGGCGAGAAAAAUUCCAUAUGGUGGAAGAUUUAGAACCAAUUGAAGUUGGAGGAGUUGUUUCAACAGCUAAAAAUGGCUCACGACAAUUAGGACAUAAGAGAUUAUGAUUAAGAUAAAUUCUGAGAUACUCAUAUUGCAUCUUGCAUCUAUGACACACUGUCCAAAAGGAAUUAGGAAUCGACUUAUGAGAUGCAACUGGAGUUGAAGAAUGACCGGUGCGAGGAGUACUCUUGGGUGCCUUCACACUUGGUUUGGCGAAAUUGUAAAAACCACCAGACCCAGGUGUUGCUGAUGCAGGGUUUGAAACCCUUUGAGAUACUUUAGCAUUUUUCCUCUUUUGGUCAUGUGCCGCUCUCUUAGACUUGUCAGACAAUAAACUCCAGGCCUGAGAAAUAAGCUUAAACGCACCAUCAGCUCCUAUAGACUUGUUUUUGUCAGGGUGAAGCAAUAGAGCAAGUUUCCUAUACUGUUUCCGAACAUUCUCAUCAUCAGCUUUUGGAUUCACACCAAGGAUCCCAUACCAAUCUUCUUCACCAUUUAUUUUGUUCUCAGCUGAAAUAUACACAUCAAAUGUUGCUACCAUCUGCGGAAGACCCUCAAGCCCAGGAUACAAAUUUUGGGCCUUCAAAGCAAAUCUCUUUGCUCCUGCAAGGUCAUUUGCUAAAAAUCUCUUCUCAGCAAUCUCUUUUGCCUUGGCAGCCUCAUCUUUAUUGCAUUCCAUUUUCCUCGCUCCACCACGUCUUGUACAAUAGUACUUCUUCUAAUAUUUUCUUUAAUCCUUUUUUCUAGUGACUGUUACAGAGUACAACAGUAAAUUCAACAGAUACAGCUACCACAUUGUUCCAUUGUACAAAUUCACAGUUUCUUCAUGCUUCAAAAAAGUAGCUAUCCUGAAAUGUUCAAGCACCUCUUUUCAAAAUGUUCCUCAUAAACC
rnacentral:misc_RNA from 1 species